GACGAACGCUGGCGGCGUGCUUAACACAUGCAAGUCGAACGGAAAGGCCCUGCUUUUGUGGGGUGCUCGAGUGGCGAACGGGUGCGUAACACGUGAGUAACCUGCCCUUGACUUUGGGAUAACUUCAGGAAACUGGGGCUAAUACCGGAUAGGAGCUCCUGCUGCAUGGUGGGGGUUGGAAAGUUUCGGCGGUUGGGGAUGGACUCGCGGCUUAUCAGCUUGUUGGUGGGGUAGUGGCUUACCAAGGCUUUGACGGGUAGCCGGCCUGAGAGGGUGACCGGGCACAUGGGGACUGAGGGACGGCCCAGACGGCAACGUGAGGCAGCAGUGGGGAAUAUUGCACAAUGAGCGGAAGCCUGAUGCAGCAGCGCCGCGUGCGGGAUGACGGCCUUCGGGUUGUAAACCGCUUUCGCCUGUGACGAAGCGUGAGUGACGGUAAUGGGUAAAGAAGCACCGGCUAACUACGUG
rnacentral:rRNA from 1 species